GAUGAACGCUGACAGAAUGCUUAACACAUCAGCGACUGAUUGUUGGCGGACGGGUGAGUAACGCGUAUAGACCUAGCCUCCCAACUAGGGACAACAUUUGGAAACGAAUGCUAAUACCUAAUACUGGCAGAGAUCUUUGCGUCACAUUAGCUAGUUGGAGAGGUAACGGCUCACCUAGGCGAUGAUGGGUAGCCGGCCUGAGAGGGUGAUCGGCCACAAGGGGACUCAGACGCGGCCCUUACUCCUACGGGAGGCAGCAGUGGGGAAUGUUGGACGAUGGACAAAAGUCUGAACCAGCAAUUAUGUGUGCACGAUGAAGUUUUCGGAAUGUAAAGUGCGUUCAGUUGGGAAGCGGUACCAACAGAAGAAGUGACGGCUAAAUACGUGCCAGCCGCCGCGGUAAUAC
rnacentral:rRNA from 1 species